AACGACUCUCGGCAACGGAUAUCUCGGCUCUCGCAUCGAUGAAGAACGUAGCGAAAUGCGAUACUUGGUGUGAAUUGCAGAAUCCCGUGAACCAUCGAGUCUUUGAACGCAAGUUGCGCCCCAAGCCUUCGGGCCGAGGGCACAUCUGCCUGGGUGUCACAA
rnacentral:rRNA from 1 species